GGAAGAGCACUAUGACUGAUGUAAGUCAACAAAGGUCACGUGUAGCGCUGGGGAGGCGGCGUUUGGCUGGGCGGGCCUGGGUGGGCGGGGGAGGGACCAA